rnacentral:rRNA from 1 species
AUUGAACGCUGGCGGCAUGCUUUACACAUGCAAGUCGAGCGGUAACAGGCCUUCGGGUGCUGACGAGUGGCGAACGGGUGAGUAAUGCAUCGGAACGUACCCAGAGGUGGGGGAUAACGCAGCGAAAGCUGUGCUAAUACCGCAUGUGAUCUGAGGAUGAAAGCGGGGGACCGAGCAGCAAUGUUUGGCCUCGCGCCUUUGGAGCGGCCGAUGUCGGAUUAGCUAGUUGGUGGGGUAAAGGCCUACCAAGGCGACGAUCCGUAGCUGGUCUGAGAGGACGAACAGCCAAACUGGGAAUGAGAAACGGCCCAGACUCCUACGGGAGGCAGCAGUGGGGAAUUUUGGACAAUGGGCGCAAGCCUGAUCCAGCAAUGCCGCGUGCGGGAAGAAGGCCUUCGGGUUGUAAACCGCUUUUGGCAGGAACGAAACGGUGUCCGCUAAUACCGGGCGCUAAUGACGGUACCUGCAGAAUAAGCACCGGCUAACUACGUG